CCCUUGAUUCAAUCAAAGGUGACUGUUCAUUCUCAUCAAGUUCAUUAUCUUGACUGUAUCCUGCAUCUCUCAACUCACUGCUAAGACUUUUGUACUUAGAAUAACUGUUUCUGGGACUUCUACUGAUGAGUGAAAUUGGCUUCCUUAGUGAGGGCAAAUUGAUUCCAUAAUUAUAAUCUGUAAAUGUAUGCAUUGUUUGUAAUCUAUUACUAACUAAUUUAUUAAUUCCUUGUUCCAUUGCAU
rnacentral:antisense_RNA from 1 species